rnacentral:rRNA from 1 species
GUGGGGAAUAUUGGACAAUGGGCGAAAGCCUGAUCCAGCCAUGCCGCGUGUGUGAAGAAGGUCUUCGGAUUGUAAAGCACUUUAAGUUGGGAGGAAGAGCAGUAAGUUAAUACCUUGCUGUUUUGACGUUACCAACAGAAUAAGCACCGGCUAACUUCGUGCCAGCAGCCGCGGUAAUACGAAGGGUGCAAGCGUUAAUCGGAAUUACUGGGCGUAAAGCGCGCGUAGGUGGUUCAGCAAGUUGAAGGUGAAAUCCCCGGGCUCAACCUGGGAACUGCCUCCAAAACUACUGAGCUAGAGUACGGUAGAGGGUAGUGGAAUUUCCUGUGUAGCGGUGAAAUGCGUAGAUAUAGGAAGGAACACCAGUGGCGAAGGCGACUACCUGGACUGAUACUGACACUGAGGUGCGAAAGCGUGGGGAGCAAACAGGAUUAGAAACCCCGGUAGUCC